GCCUCCUCGCUGGGGAUAACCAGGCGAAAGCUUGGCUAAUACCGAAUAGUCCGUCUGGAACUGAGGUUUCAGUCGGUAAAGCCGUAAGGCGCGGGGAGAGUAGUCCAAGUCCCAUUAGCUAGUUGGUAGGGUAACGGCCUACCAAGGCUACGAUGGGUAGCUGGUCUGAGAGGACGAUCAGCCACACUGGAACUGGAACACGGUCCAGACUCCUACGGGAGGCAGCAGUUAGGAAUUUUGCGCAAUGGGGGAAACCCUGACGCAGCAACGCCGCGUGAAGGAUGAAGGCUUUCGGGUUGUAAACUUCUUUUAGCAGGAAAGAACAAAAUGACGGUACCUGCAGAAAAAGCACCGGCUAACUCUGUGCCAGCAGCCGCGGUAAUACAGAGGGUGCAAGCGUUAUUCGGAUUUACUGGGCAUAAAGAGCGCGUAGGCGGUUUAAUAAGUCUGAUGUGAAAGCCCUGGACUCAAUCCAGGAAGUGCAUCGGAUACUGCUAAACUAGAGUAGAGGAGAGGACAGCGGAAUUCCAGGUGUAGAGGUGAAAUUCGUAGAUAUCUGGAGGAACAACAGUGGCGAAGGCGGCUGUCUGGACUCUUACUGACGCUGAGGCGCGAAAGCGUGGGGAGCAAACAGGAUUAGAUACCCUGGUAGUCCACGCCGUAAACGAUGGAAGCUAGUUGUCGGAAGUUCUUACCCUUUCGGUGACGUCGCUAAUGCAUUAA
rnacentral:rRNA from 1 species